AUUGAACGCUGGCGGCAGGCCUAACACAUGCAAGUCGAGCGGGGUUUUCGGACCUAGCGGCGGACGGGUGGGUAAUGCGUAGGAAGCUACCCGAUAGAGGGGGAUACCAGUUGGAAACGACUGUUAAUACCGCAUAACGUCUACGGACCAAAGUGUGGGACCUUCGGGCCACAUGCUAUCGGAUGCGCCUACGUGGGAUUAGCUAGUUGGUGGGGUAAUGGCUCACCAAGGCGACGAUCCCUAGCUGGUGUGAGAGGAUGAUCAGCCACACUGGAACUGAGACACGGUCCAGACUCCUACGGGAGGCAGCAGUGGGGAAUAUUGGACAAUGGGCGCAAGCCUGAUCCAGCCAUGCCGCGUGUGUGAAGAAGGCCUUCGGGUUGUAAAGCACUUUCAGUAGGGAGGAAGAGUUGAGUGUUAAUAGUACUCAGCUUUGACGUUACCUACAGAAGAAGCACCGGCUAACUCUGUGCCAGCCGCCGCCGUAAUAC
rnacentral:rRNA from 1 species